rnacentral:rRNA from 1 species
GACGUAGGGCGCGAGCGUUGUCCGGAUUUAUUGGGCGUAAAGAGCUCGUAGGCGGCUUGUCGCGUCGAAUGUGAAAUCCUGCGGCUCAACUGCAGGCUUGCAUUCGAUACGGGCAGGCUAGAGUUCGGUAGGGGAGACUGGAAUUCCUGGUGUAGCGGUGAAAUGCGCAGAUAUCAGGAGGAACACCGGUGGCGAAGGCGGGUCUCUGGGCCGAUACUGACGCUGAGGAGCGAAAGCGUGGGGAGCGAACAGG